GAGUUUGAUCCUGGCUCAGGAUGAACGCUAGCGGGAGGCUUAAUACAUGCAAGUCGAGGGGCAGCAGUUCGGCUGGCGACCGGCGAACGGGUGAGUAACGCGUACGCAACUUACCUCCAAGCAAGGGAUAGCCCUGGGAAACUGGGAUUAAUACCUUAUGUGGUUAUUGAAUUGGCAUCAUUUAAUGACUAAAGUUGAGGCGCUUGGAGAUAGGCGUGCGUCCUAUUAGCUAGUUGGUAAGGUAGAGGCUUACCAAGGCUACGAUAGGUAGGGGGCGUGAGAGCGUGAUCCCCCACACGGGUACUGAGACACGGACCCGACUCCUACGGGAGGCAGCAGUAAGGAAUAUUGGACAAUGGGCGCAAGCCUGAUCCAGCCAUCCCGCGUGCAGGAUGACGGCCCUCUGGGUUGUAAACUGCUUUUGUAUGGGAAGAAACGCCCCU
rnacentral:rRNA from 1 species